UGGUGGCGACCGGCGCACGGGUGAGUAACGCGUAUGCAACCCCCUUAUCAGAGGGGAAUAACCCGGCGAAAGUCGGACUAAUACCGCAUAAAACAGGGGCACCGCAUGGUGAUAUUUGUUAAAGAAAUUCGCUGAUAGAUGGGCAUGCGUUCCAUUAGGUAGUUGGUGAGGUAACGGCUCACCAAGCCGACGAUGGAUAGGGGAACUGAGAGGUUGGUCCCCCACACUGGUACUGAGACACGGACCAGACUCCUACGGGAGGCAGCAGUGAGGAAUAUUGGUCAAUGGGCGAGAGCCUGAACCAGCCAAGUCGCGUGAAGGAAGAAGGAUCUAUGGUUCGUAAACUUCUUUUGCAGGGGAAUAAAGUGCAGGACGUGUCCUGUUUUGUAUGUACCCUGAGAAUAAGGAUCGGCUAACUCCGUGCCAGCAGCCGCGGUAAUACGGAGGAUCCGAGCGUUAUCCGGAUUUAUUGGGUUUAAAGGGUGCGUAGGUGGUUUGAUAAGUCAGCGGUGAAAGUUUGCAGCUUAACUGUAAAAAUGCCGUUGAAACUGUCGGACUUGAGUGUAAAUGAGGUAGGCGGAAUGCGUGGUGUAGCGGUGAAAUGCUUAGAUAUCACGAAGAACUCCGAUUG
rnacentral:rRNA from 1 species